UUGGAUUAGAUACCCGAGUAGUCCACGCUGUAAACGAUGGGCACUAGGUGUGGGGGGUAUCCACUCCUCCCGUGCCGCAGCUAACGCAUUAAGUGCCCCGCCUGGGGAGUACGGCCGCAAGGCUAAAACUCAAAGGAAUUGACGGGGGCCCGCACAAGCGGUGGAGCAUGUGGUUUAAUUCGACGCAACGCGAAGAACCUUACCUGGGCUUGACAUCCCGGGAAUCCCCUGGAAACAGGGGAGUGCCCUCGUAAGGGGGAGCCCGGAGACAGGUGCUGCAUGGUCGUCGCCAACU
rnacentral:rRNA from 1 species